AAGUAAGUACAGAUAAGUAAAUAACAUACACAUAUUUACAAUCUUAUUGUAUACAAAUUGAUUACAAUUCAUUCUUACUUUUUAUUGCAGGUUCUAUGACCAAAAAUUAGAAUCGAAAGGGGCCAGUGCUAUUGCAGCAAAAUAUUUCUCAGAAGUAGUAAACAUUAAUAAUAGAGUCUUUAGAAAAUAUAGAUGAAACCAGGGUGUACAGCAUGUUAGUUCAAGAGAUGUAGUAUCAUCUCUUAAGCAGGAAAAUCUUCAUUUGUCGCGGUAUACGUUACAGGAUAGAGGAGUGUGAUUUAGUUUCAAGUCGAUUAAAAUAUGAAAUUAGUUUUAUUUAAAUGUAUUCAGUUAACAUUGGUAAGGUAUAUGCUUCCAAUAUAUGAUUGUAUAUGUAUGUUUCAUGUAUUUGUGUCUUACGUUCAUUUUUAUGUGCAAUAUUUUUGUUCGAAUACUGGUAAGGUUUUCUGCGGUCUCCUUACUCUUAGCAAUAAAUGUUGGUAUUCAUGUAAUAAAUCGGCUGCAGACGUAAAAACUAAAUAAAUAAUGAGUCGUUUUCCGCUUUUUGUUGUA